UAACGCGUGGGUAACCUGCCUCGUACAGGGGGAUAACAGUUAGAAAUGACUGCUAAUACCGCAUAAGACCACAGCACCGCAUGGUGCAGGGGUAAAAACUCCGGUGGUAUGAGAUGGACCCGCGUCUGAUUAGCUAGUUGGUAAGGUAACGGCUUACCAAGGCGACGAUCAGUAGCCGACCUGAGAGGGUGACCGGCCACAUUGGGACUGAGACACGGCCCAAACUCCUACGGGAGGCAGCAGUGGGGAAUAUUGCACAAUGGGGGAAACCCUGAUGCAGCGACGCCGCGUGAGCGAAGAAGUAUUUCGGUAUGUAAAGCUCUAUCAGCAGGGAAGAAAAUGACGGUACCUGACUAAGAAGCACCGGCUAAAUACGUGCCAGCAGCCGCGGUAAUACGUAUGGUGCAAGCGUUAUCCGGAUUUACUGGGUGUAAAGGGAGUGUAGACGGAUGGGCAAGUCUGAUGUGAAAACCCGGGGCUCAACCCCGGGACUGCAUUGGAAACUGUUCAUCUAGAGUGCUGGAGAGGUAAGUGGAAUUCCUAGUGUAGCGGUGAAAUGCGUAGAUAUUAGGAGGAACACCAGUGGCGAAGGCGGCUUACUGGACAGUAACUGACGUUGAGGCUCGAAAGCGUGGGGAGCAAACAGGAUUAGAUACCCUGGUAGUCCACGCCGUAAACGAUGACUACUAGGUGU
rnacentral:rRNA from 1 species